AGAGUUUGAUYMUGGCUCAGGACGAACGCUGGCGGCAUGCCUAAUACAUGCAAGUCGAACGAACCAUCCUGAAGAUUGAAGCUUGCUUCAUGAUUCAGACCUUGGUGAGUGGCGGACGGGUGAGUAACACGUGGGUAACCUGCCCAAAAGUGGGGGAUAACAUUUGGAAACAAGUGCUAAUACCGCAUAACAACUACUUUCACAUGAUCGUAGCUUGAAAGAUGGCUCUGCUAUCGCUUUUGGAUGGACCCGCGGCGUAUUAGCUAGUUGGUGAGGUAAUAGCUCACCAAGGCAAUGAUACGUAGCCGACCUGAGAGGGUAAUCGGCCACAUUGGGACUGAGACACGGCCCAAACUCCUACGGGAGGCAGCAGUAGGGAAUCUUCCACAAUGGGCGAAAGCCUGAUGGAGCAAUGCCGCGUGAGUGAAGAAGGUUUUCGGAUCGUAAAACUCUGUUGUUGAAGAAGAACAUGCGUGAGAGUAACUGUUCACGUACUGACGGUAUUCAACCAGAAAGCCACGGCUAACUACGUGCCAGCAGCCGCGGUAAU
rnacentral:rRNA from 1 species